rnacentral:snoRNA from 1 species
CUGCUGCUAAGGUUUCCACUACAGAAGCAAGAAAAAGAAGGUCCUUGUGCUUUCUGCCUGUCUGGUUAUGGCAGCCAAGAUUGAAUGCGGGAAUACAGGG